GUGAUAUUCAGUCGGGCAAAUGUAUAAGAGAAAAAAUGAGAAAUUCAAAAGCUUAUUUUUGCUUAUGUAAUAAUUUUCAACACAACAAACUAAUGAAAAAAAAUUAAAAACCAACAAAAAAAUCAGAAAUGACAAAAUAAUAAAUAUAUUUUUCCGACUAUUUCCCUCGUCUAAAUUUCCACCAAUCACAAACUUUCCAUUAUUAAUUAAAAAUGGUUUCUAGAUGAAAAAACUGUGAGACAGUACAUGUCUGCAGUUUUUUUGAGUCUACCCGCGGAAAAACUUGACAGCUAUUGUCAUGAAAGAAUACAAUAUCUUCGAAAACUCAUAAAAUAGUCUUGUCAAAUACCACAAUGCAAAGUAAUAUUUUAUUAACAAAAAGCGUUGGUGCAGGUGUAAAACCCUCGUCUAAAGAUUGGAAAUCUUUUUCGAGAGCAUAGAGAAUUAUACAACAUGAAGAUCCAGAAAAUAGCAAACAUUUGCAUUUUAAUGUUAGAGGUCCUAUAAGCAUUAGGUAUACGAGAAAAUGGCUAAUGGUGAAAAUUAUUUUUUGUUAAAUUGAUUUUUUGUUGUUAUUCAAAAUUAUAUAUUUCAAAUUAUCUUUGAAACGAAUAAAUGAGUUUUAAAUUGGAGAUAAUUUUUUUGUAUCAAAAUUAGUUCUUCAAUUAAUGGGCGGUAUUUUCUCAAGUAUCUACUUUUUUAUCAAUUACAGAAGUCUUUUUUGUUUUUUUUUUUUAUUUCGAAAAGAUUGAUUAAUUUCAUGGAAUAAUCGAUAACUAAACGAAAAUUGUCAAUUUUAGUUGCUAUAGAGUAUAGACAGUUCUUUUUUCAUUCAUAAUUUCAUAAUUUUUCAAAAUUACAUAUUUUAAAAAUGAAUAAAUGAGUGUUAAAUUGAAGAUAAUUUUUUUGUAUUAAAAUUAAUUCUUUAAUUAAUUUCGGCAUUUUCUCAAGUACCUACUUUUUUGUCAAUUACAAUCUUUAUAACAAAGGAAGUGCUUUUAUUUGUUUUUUUGUAGUUUCAAAAGAUUGAUUAAUAUCAUUAAAUGAUCGAUAACUAAACGAAAAUUGUUCAUUUUAUUUUUAUUUAGAGUAUAGACAGUUCUUUUUUUCAUUCAUAAUUUCAAAGAAUAUUUUUAAUGAAUUAUUAUAAACAAAUUAUAGUCUAACAAACAUUUAUCUUUUGAUGAUGAACGAACUAGCCCGUUACUUUGUAAUAGUACAUUUUAUAUGGAAUAUGAAAAUUAUUUCGUUUUUAUCACUAUCAAAAAGUAACAGUAUUUAAAGAUUGUUAAAAUUUGGAAAAUCACUAUGGGUCAGGAAGUUUUGAGCGCUCAUUCAUUUAAAUAUAUGAGAUGUGGUUAAUUGUGAAUACAUUGUUGUGUGUUGGUUCAUUUAGACGAAGAAAUGAUCCUGAAUUUCGACAUAAUCAUUUCAGUGAUUAUUUCACAUAUACAUUGAAUAGAAAUUAAAUACAUUUAUUAUGUAUUAUAUAACGUCAUUCAUUUUUAUACAAUGAAUAUUUUUCAAAUGUCUUAUAUUUAAAUUCCGUGACAACAACAAUUAUUAUUAUUAUUAUUAUUAUUAUAACAGGGCUAUUGAACAAUAAAAUUAUGAGUUUUAUGAAUAAUUCAGAUAUCUCAAGAUACAUGGGUUUAUUAUGAUAAUUAUUAUAAAUUAUUAUAGUAAUGAAUGCCAAAAAUAUCUAAUUGCGACAAGAAAGGUUAUUAUGUUAAUAGCCAUAUAUGUUUGAUGUAGAUACAAAUAUUUUAUUUUUUCUAUGAAUUUGAUUCUAAUAACAACAACUACAGUAUUAAGACACAAUUGUCCUAUUAAUCCUUUAGCUGAAUAUAUUUUUGUUUUACAAAUUUUUAUUUUUUUGGAAUUUGAUUCUUUUAUAUUGAAAAUUAUAUAUUUAAGCAAUGUCUAUAUAAAGUUGUCGUUUUGAAAUCAAAAAAUUAACUUUCACAUUAUGUCUAGGCACUUAAUUUACAUCUUGAGAAGAGCAAACAUUUUCUACCUAAUAUUUUAUCAGGAAUGGUAUCCUCGACACUGGCAAAUCAUAAAGGAUUAAUUCAUGUGAGACGUAAUAUUCCACAGAAUUCGUGAAAAGAUGAUAAAUGAUUUUAUUAAUACCUUCUUUGUGUAUUUAUCGGUACCUUCCUCCAACAAGAAAUUUGAAUUAAUUUGUAUUAUAUGCUUAUAAUUUAAAAAACGACUUUUUUAUGCUUUGAUGUUUAAUACCUAUAAAAAUACGAAAAAGUUAAACGUACCGUACUCAGAAAGGAAUUCUACUAGAGCUUGUAAAAAUCUCAUUUCAAAUGGCAUUUUGCAAAUGUAUACACCGAAGAUUGGAAAAAUUAUUUAGUCCAAAAUUCAAAAAGUUUUGCACAUUCCCCACUUCUUUCGAAAUUAUUAAUAAUUAAGGGUGUCAAGCCAACUGUUUAUUCGCAGUGAUUAUUCAAGUGCCCAAGUGCAAGAAGUCGUCGCUGGUUAUCGAAAAAUUCGAUAUUGAGUUCUCGCGAUAACUACAAUAUUCGUUGAUAAAAUUAUAGAACGACCAUGUCUUCAAUAAGUAAAUUAAUGAAUUCUUGUUCUAUAGAUGAUAAUUCCAGAUCUGCCAUUACAUACUACGGAGCAAACUAUGACACCCUGCAUUAUAGUCGAGAACUUUUGGAUGGAACGUCGGUGCAUUCAUGGAAGUUGGAGUCAGACGAACUGGAUCAACUAAUAGAAGAAGAUCUUGAACAUCCUUCUAAUUAUAAAGAUAAAGACGAGGAAUAUAUAGGGGAUGCCGGGGGUGCUAUAGCACAUUUUCUGAAGAAUGAUAGUUCCAGAUCUCCGAUUACAUACUACGGAGCAAACUAUGACACCCUGCAUUAUAGUCAAGAACUUUUGGAUGGAACUUCGGUGCAUUAAUGGAAGUUGGAGUCAGACGAACUGGUUCAACUGAUAGACGAAGAUCUUGAACAUCCUUCUAAUUAUAAAGAUAAAGACGAGGAAUAUAUAGGGGAUGCCGGGGGUGCUAUAGCACAUUUUCUGAAGAGUGAGUAAACUGAAAAUUUCUUAUUUUUUUAUCCCUCAUUUUUUCUUCAGAUCUAUAAGGAUCUUGGAUAGAUUCAUUUGAUAAAAAUAAAUAUAAGCACUUCGAGGAAAUUCAUAUUUAUUUUUAUAAAAUUAAUGGAAUUUUCUUCAAGUAAGGACUGAAUCCAUCAUAUAUUAGAGAAAUUCAUUGAAAUUCUGAACGGAAUAAUUUCCGUUACUUGAUAACUGUAAAUGACAAAAAUUACGAGAUAAAAAAUAUGAAUAACUUUGGAGACCAUAUCAGUUGAUUUUCAUAUAUAUAUUUGAAUAAGGGUGCCAAGCCAACUACCUACUCGCAGUGAUUAUUCAAGUGCCUAAGUGCAAGUCGUCGCUGGUUAUCGAAAAAUUCGAUUUUGAGUUCUCGCGAUAACUACAAUUUUUGUUAAUAAAAUUAUAGAUCGAACAUGUCUGCAAUAAUUCAAUUGAUGAAUUCUUGUUCUAUAGAUGAUAGCUCCAGAUCUCUAAGUACAUACUACGGAGACUAUGACUCCCUCCAUUAUAGUCUACAAAUUUUGGAUGGAACGGUGCAAUCAUGGGAGUCAGAAGAACUGAUUGAACUAUAGGUAAUAGAAGAAGAUCUUGAACAUCUUUCUAAUUAUAAAGAUAAAGACGAGGAAUAUAAAGGGGAUGCCGGGGGUGCUAUAGCACAUUUUCUGAAGAGUGAGUAAACUGAAAAUUUCUUAUUUUUUUAUCCCUCAUUUUUUCUUCAGAUCUAUAAGGAUCUUGGAUAGAUUCAUUUCAUUAAAAUAAAUAUAAGCACUUCGGGGAAAUUCAUAUUUAUUUUUAUCAAAUUAAUGGAAUUUUUAUAAAGUAAGGACUGAA